rnacentral:piRNA from 1 species
UUAGAACCAGAAAAAAAAAAC